UUGAGCCAAUUGUCCAAAGUCCAACACACUGGUGGCAGUGUAAUUCAUUUAAGAGCUUCUGGGAGUUGCCAUUAAAUAAUCAUUAAUGUCACAUUCUCUAUGUGCAUCCGUUACUUUCACUACAAAAUCGUAUUACAGAAAAGAUCAUGCUUCACGUCAGAGACACUGCAGAAGAAGAGACUGGCAUGAGAAGCUUGAUGCACUCUGAAAUGCCUCAGGAAUGCUAAAAGGUUCCAUGUAGAAUCAUUCCUUUGAAGAGUGUGAGCACUUAUUUCUUCAAGGCACUGGCAUUAAUGUAAGUAUUAGAAAUCAAAACCAUAUCAAGAUCAUAUUUUAAUGCAUUUCAAGUCACCUUUAUGUGUCAACUAGAUUCCAUUAAAAUUCCAUUAAAUUGCUAUUUUAAGCUAAUAUUUAAGACAUUAGUCUUAGCUCGCCAAUUCUUCGCACAUCUUGCAGCUGAGGGCAGAACAGAGUUGUUCAUCAUUUAUGAAUCAGCCAUUACUAAGUCACAUGUUCAGUAAUGCUGAAUUCUUUUCCUACUCCUACCAUAUCUGAUGCGGUUCACUGACGACACCUUUCCACUAAAAAAGGUAAAAAACAAAAAAAAACCUCUUUAAUGACACACUCCAUUCCUAGCAUUUUGGCAUACUUCUUCUGUCUGACCUUUUACCGAGCAUCAAUUGAACACCGCACCGGUAAAUGGGUUGCUCUGAUAAUUACUCCGAUUAGGAUUUCAACACUGAAUGCCGGCACCCAACCAGGAAGUUCUCCCUGAAGCCUCAUUAACACCAAGCUAACACAGGAUAUGAUCUCAGUGUGUAUAGAAAGGGAUGCAGGAGAGGAAGUGUGAGUCAUCAGAGCAGAUGAUUGCAUGUAGAUUCAUGUAGUGUACGCACCGUGGAUGACUGUGUGUGGACUUUUUUUGACGGUGUAAAGUUGAUUGAAGAUUUAUUCCUCCAGUUAUUUAUUCGACGUACUGUACAAACUCCGCAUCGACAAUCUAAGCAAUGUGGAACAAUAUUUAACAUCCUGUUCGUUACAGACACUGUGGAUCGCUUCACGGGGCAGACUCGGGAGGUAGGAUGCAAAUGCAGUGCGUUUAAUUGCGGAGAGUCUAAAAAAAUUGGAACUGAUAGAAAUGGGUCAAAAAUACCAGAACAGGCAGAAAUGGGAACAGAGGACAAUCCAAAAUUUCAGGCAAAACCUGUGACAAAAACAGACAGAACAAACAAGUACACAAGAGCUAGCAGUUGAGCAGUUGAAAACCAAACAGAGUUCAAUAUCAGAAGAAUCACGGAUUACGAUUAUAUAGGCUUAGUAAUGUCAAGGACCCAAAGGAACAGCAUGUACCUCACAAGGAGGUACUGAAACAUAUGUAACUGAGCACUGGUGAAUAUAAUGAGAGGCUGGUCACUGUGAAUAUGGAAGUGCUGGUGGUUGCUGGGAAUUUGAGUCCAUUGUGGCUCAUUGUGUUUGUUGGUUGCGGUGAAAUGCAGUGUUGGACACUAGGACGCAUGAUGCAAGUUCCCCCAUACCCCACCCACUAAUUAUAAUAAUAAUACCAAUCCACCUAGUAAGUGCUUAAGCAUCAAUUAAAGAAUAUGCAAACAAUGUAAAAAGUAUUGUAUAAUACAGCAGAUUGCAUUCUUUUUUAUCAUUAUCGUCUUGCUUUCUUUUUUUUUUAAAUUUUUUUACUAUAAAACAGAAUUUUAUGUUCUAUAAAUGAUGUUUUUCUGUCAGCUGCUAGCAAACAAAACAUCACCGCUGAGACGAUUUGGUUCAUUUUUAAUGAAAUGCACCGUAAUUAAAAAUUAAACCCAUGUUUACUUUGAACCUUAUUUCUGAACUUUAUAUACAACUUGACAAAGAGGUUCAAAGCAGCUGUUUAAAGACCUACAUUUUCAAAGUUUUACCAGAAGGAUAACAGCACCAAACUUCAGAAACGGAGGAAACGCGGCCGCAAAGUAACUGAAAAGUCGCAGAGCAAUUUGUGUGAAUACAAAAACAUCCAAAACAAAUGUUAAAAUAAGAGAGAUUUUAGAGGCGAGUGGAAAUAAAGUUGUCACGGAUCAUGUCACCCCUACUGUCUUCGUUCCCUUUGGUAGUCACUCCAUUAUUGCAUAAAGUUAAAUCUUUGUCAUGUCACUGGACACACCCACAUCUAGUCACCAACGCUCGCUGUCGCUCCUGGCAGCUCUCAUUGAAAAUGAAAAUCUCCGGUGGCUUUGUCACUGUGACUCGCUGUAGCUGUGAACAGGUGUGUAUGUACGUAUACAGCAUUACUUUGCUCCCACACUAUAAUAUUUGGCAAGGCUAACUGUAAAAGCAUAUUGUUCUCAUUUGAUGUGUUAAAUUCCUUUUCACUUGUUACCUAAGGCAAUCAAUGAACAAAGCAUCUGGCAUCAAGGACUCUCUCCUUUCACUGGGUUCCUUGGAAAAGCAAUAAAACUUCAAGAUGUGGACACGGUGCACAUACACGUAUAAUUGCAAAGGAAAAGGAGAGAAAUUGUGAGGUGUAGAAAAGAGGAAGAGGCUGGAAAGAGACGGAUAAUAAUUACAGGUGGCACAGGGGAGCCCAACAAAAUGAGAUCUUUUUCACUUGGGGAAGAAGCAAAAGACAGACAAGAUUCUGUUUUCAGUCCCUCAGCAUCCACAAUACACAAAAAACCCAACAUCCAAGCACUUGAACCUCCAAAUCACUCCCACUCAGGCUUUUGGAUUAACAAUAAACACCACCCCAUCUCUCUGACACAGACGCAGCUUCUUUCCAGUAUUUUUAUUCCUGUAUUUUACAGGCAUAACUCAUAAAUCAUCAAGCUAAAUCUCAGCUCACAUAGACUCCGGAUCACAGCUCAUUGUAGGCGUGGGUUGUAUAACAUCUGCAUUAUAAAAUACAGUUAUUAGCUGGGAUUAGAAGCUAUUCAUUUUUCAUUUUGAUUCAUUCGGAACAGAAACAAAACUGCUCCAGCUUUCCACAAGACCUCUUUAGUAAGAAGUCACUUACAAUGAAAUAAAAUUAUAAAAUAGAUGAAACUCUUUACCAGCACACUGGCUACCGGUGAAUGGAAAUGGACUUAUCAGACAUUUUCCAUCAGUAUAAACAAAUUAUUUUAUGGCUGCAGGUCUGAUAUAAAAUAAGUCAGGACUGGUUUUGACUGUGACGUUUCGGGUUUUUCCCUCUGUUGGAUAACCUCACACAGAAUUUUAGUGGUUGAAGACAAUGCCUUCAAAUUUAAGCUGGGGGGGGCAUCCCAGAGGGCAGAAAUGGGUUUGAUAUCACCAUUUACUAUGAAGAAACAUUUGUGGGAAAUUAUUAUUAUCAUUAUUAUUAUUAUUAUUAUUAUUAUUAUUAUUAUUAUGAAUAAUUUUAUUAUUUUUUAAUCAUUUUUUACAAUAUAUAUUUAUCCAAAUAAGUGUGUGUAUUUGCCCUAUGAUGGGUUGGCACUCCGUCCAGGGUGUAUCCUGCCUUGAUGCCCAAUGAUGCCUAUAGUCACAGGAUCCCUGUGACCCAGGAAUAUAGCAGAU